rnacentral:rRNA from 1 species
AACGAACGCUGGCGGCAUGCCUAACACAUGCCAGUCGAACGAGACCUCCGGGUCUAGUGGCGCACGGGUGCGUAACGCGUGGGAACCUUCCCUUAGGUUCGGAAUAACUCCCCGAAAGGGGUGCUAAUACCGGAUAAUGUCUUCGGCCCAAAGAUUUAUCGCCUUUGGAUGGGCCCGCGUUGGAUUAGCUAGUUGGUAGGGUAAAAGCCUACCAAGGCGACGAUCCAUAGCUGGUCUGAGAGGAUGAUCAGCACACUGGGACUGAGACACGGCCCGGACUCCUACGGGAGGCAGCAGUGGGGAAUAUUGGAAAAUGGGCGAAAGCCUGAUCCAGCAAUGACGCGUGAGUGAUGAAGGCCUUAGGGUUGUAAAGCUCUUUUACCCGGGAUGAUAAUGACAGUACCGGGAGAAUAAGCGCCGGCUAACUCCGUG